GUUAAGCGACUAAGCGUACACGGUGGAUGCCCUGGCAGUCAGAGGCGAUGAAGGACGUGCUAAUCUGCGAUAAGCGUCGGUGAGGUGAUAUGAACCGUUAUAACCGGCGAUUUCCGAAUGGGGAAACCCAGUGUGUUUCGACACACUAUCAUUAACUGAAUCCAUAGGUUAAUGAGGCGAACCGGGGGAACUGAAACAUCUAAGUACCCCGAGGAAAAGAAAUCAACCGAGAUUCCCCCAGUAGCGGCGAGCGAACGGGGAGGAGCCCAGAGCCUGAAUCAGUGUGUGUGUUAGUGGAAGCGUCUGGAAAGGCGCGCGAUACAGGGUGACAGCCCCGUACACAAAAAUGCACAUAUUGUGAGCUCGAUGAGUAGGGCGGGACACGUGGUAUCCUGUCUGAAUAUGGGGGGACCAUCCUCCAAGGCUAAAUACUCCUGACUGACCGAUAGUGAACCAGUACCGUGAGGGAAAGGCGAAAAGAACCCCGGCGAGGGGAGUGAAAAAGAACCUGAAACCGUGUACGUACAAGCAGUGGGAGCCUCUUUAUGGGGUGACUGCGUACCUUUUGUAUAAUGGGUCAGCGACUUAUAUUCUGUAGCAAGGUUAACCGAAUAGGGGAGCCGAAGGGAAACCGAGUCUUAACUGGGCGUUAAGUUGCAGGGUAUAGACCCGAAACCCGGUGAUCUAGCCAUGGGCAGGUUGAAGGUUGGGUAACACUAACUGGAGGACCGAACCGACUAAUGUUGAAAAAUUAGCGGAUGACUUGUGGCUGGGGGUGAAAGGCCAAUCAAACCGGGAGAUAGCUGGUUCUCCCCGAAAGCUAUUUAGGUAGCGCCUCGUGAAUUCAUCUCCGGGGGUAGAGCACUGUUUCGGCAAGGGGGUCAUCCCGACUUACCAACCCGAUGCAAACUGCGAAUACCGGAGAAUGUUAUCACGGGAGACACACGGCGGGUGCUAACGUCCGUCGUGAAGAGGGAAACAACCCAGACCGCCAGCUAAGGUCCCAAAGUCAUGGUUAAGUGGGAAACGAUGUGGGAAGGCCCAGACAGCCAGGAUGUUGGCUUAGAAGCAGCCAUCAUUUAAAGAAAGCGUAAUAGCUCACUGGUCGAGUCGGCCUGCGCGGAAGAUGUAACGGGGCUAAACCAUGCACCGAAGCUGCGGCAGCGACACUAUGUGUUGUUGGGUAGGGGAGCGUUCUGUAAGCCUGUGAAGGUGGCCUGUGAGGGUUGCUGGAGGUAUCAGAAGUGCGAAUGCUGACAUAAGUAACGAUAAAGCGGGUGAAAAGCCCGCUCGCCGGAAGACCAAGGGUUCCUGUCCAACGUUAAUCGGGGCAGGGUGAGUCGACCCCUAAGGCGAGGCCGAAAGGCGUAGUCGAUGGGAAACAGGUUAAUAUUCCUGUACUUGGUGUUACUGCGAAGGGGGGACGGAGAAGGCUAUGUUGGCCGGGCGACGGUUGUCCCGGUUUAAGCGUGUAGGCUGGUUUUCCAGGCAAAUCCGGAAAACCAAGGCUGAGGCGUGAUGACGAGGCACUACGGUGCUGAAGCGACAAAUGCCCUGCUUCCAGGAAAAGCCUCUAAGCAUCAGGUAACAUCAAAUCGUACCCCAAACCGACACAGGUGGUCAGGUAGAGAAUACCAAGGCGCUUGAGAGAACUCGGGUGAAGGAACUAGGCAAAAUGGUGCCGUAACUUCGGGAGAAGGCACGCUGAUAUGUAGGUGAAGCGACUUGCUCGUGGAGCUGAAAUCAGUCGAAGAUACCAGCUGGCUGCAACUGUUUAUUAAAAACACAGCACUGUGCAAACACGAAAGUGGACGUAUACGGUGUGACGCCUGCCCGGUGCCGGAAGGUUAAUUGAUGGGGUUAGCGGUAACGCGAAGCUCUUGAUCGAAGCCCCGGUAAACGGCGGCCGUAACUAUAACGGUCCUAAGGUAGCGAAAUUCCUUGUCGGGUAAGUUCCGACCUGCACGAAUGGCGUAAUGAUGGCCAGGCUGUCUCCACCCGAGACUCAGUGAAAUUGAACUCGCUGUGAAGAUGCAGUGUACCCGCGGCAAGACGGAAAGACCCCGUGAACCUUUACUAUAGCUUGACACUGAACAUUGAGCCUUGAUGUGUAGGAUAGGUGGGAGGCUUUGAAGUGUGGACGCCAGUCUGCAUGGAGCCGACCUUGAAAUACCACCCUUUAAUGUUUGAUGUUCUAACGUUGGCCCGUAAUCCGGGUUGCGGACAGUGUCUGGUGGGUAGUUUGACUGGGGCGGUCUCCUCCUAAAGAGUAACGGAGGAGCACGAAGGUUGGCUAAUCCUGGUCGGACAUCAGGAGGUUAGUGCAAUGGCAUAAGCCAGCUUGACUGCGAGCGUGACGGCGCGAGCAGGUGCGAAAGCAGGUCAUAGUGAUCCGGUGGUUCUGAAUGGAAGGGCCAUCGCUCAACGGAUAAAAGGUACUCCGGGGAUAACAGGCUGAUACCGCCCAAGAGUUCAUAUCGACGGCGGUGUUUGGCACCUCGAUGUCGGCUCAUCACAUCCUGGGGCUGAAGUAGGUCCCAAGGGUAUGGCUGUUCGCCAUUUAAAGUGGUACGCGAGCUGGGUUUAGAACGUCGUGAGACAGUUCGGUCCCUAUCUGCCGUGGGCGCUGGAGAACUGAGGGGGGCUGCUCCUAGUACGAGAGGACCGGAGUGGACGCAUCACUGGUGUUCGGGUUGUCAUGCCAAUGGCACUGCCCGGUAGCUAAAUGCGGAAGAGAUAAGUGCUGAAAGCAUCUAAGCACGAAACUUGCCCCGAGAUGAGUUCUCCCUGAGACUUAGAGUCUCCUGAAGGAACGUUGAAGACGACGACGUUGAUAGGCCGGGUGUGUAAGCGCAGCGAUGCGUUGAGCUAACCGGUACUAAUGAACCGUGAGGCUUAACCUU
rnacentral:rRNA from 1 species